GUGCCUUUGACCAUGGCUGGACUGAGAG
rnacentral:piRNA from 1 species